rnacentral:lncRNA from 1 species
GCGGGAACUUUCAGCCCCACUCCUCCGCCUCCAGGGAGUGGGAAGGAGUUGGGGACUGAGUUGAUCACCAAUGGCCAAUGAUGUGACAAACCACACCUACGUAAUGGAACCUCCAUAUAACCCUAAACCACGGGGGAUGGAGAGCCCGGCUGGUGAAAGUGUUGGGAGGUGAAAGGUGUCAUGUGCUGGGAGGUGGCUCACUCGGAGUCCACAGGGACACAGGCUCCUGUGCUCGGGACCAUUCUGGACCUGGCUCUAUGUGCCUCUCCCUCUGCUGUUCCCUUGUGUCCUUUACAACAAACUGGUAACAAUCAUUCAUUCUAAUGAAUGAGGCAGCUGUGGAGAGGUCCAUGUAUCAUAUCGUGCAUGACAUGACAUGGCAGCUGUGGAGAGGCCCACAUAAUAGAGACCUGCUGCCAACCACCAGUGAGGAACUGAGACCUGCCAAG